AGUGAACGCUGGCGGCAGGCCUAACACAUGCAAGUCGAACGGCAACACAGUAAGAGCUUGCUCUUACGGGUGGCGAGUGGCGGACGGGUGAGGAAUACAUCGGCUUCUACUUUUUCGUGGGGGAUAACGUAGGGAAACUUCCGCUACUACCUCAUACGACCUACGGGUGAAAGCAGGGGAUCUUCGGACCUUGCGCGACUGAAUGAGCCGAUUUCGGAUUAGCUAGUUGGCGGGGUAAAGGCCCACCAAGGCGACGAUCCGUAGCUGGUCUGAGAGGAUGAUCAGCCACACUGGAACUGAGACACGGUCCAGACUCCUACGGGAGGCAGCAGUGGGGAAUAUUGGACAAUGGGCGCAAGCCUGAUCCAGCCAUGCCGCGUGGGUGAAGAAGGCCUUCGGGUUGUAAAGCCCUUUUGUUGGGAAAGAAAAGCAGCAGGUGAAUACCCGGCUGUUCUGACGGUACCCAAAGAAUAAGCACCGGCUAACUUCGUG
rnacentral:rRNA from 1 species